rnacentral:rRNA from 1 species
GACGAACGCUGGCGGCGUGCCUAAUACAUGCAAGUUGAGCGCUGAAGGUUGGUACUUGUACCAACUGGAUGAGCAGCGAACGGGUGAGUAACGCGUGGGGAAUCUGCCUUUGAGCGGGGGACAACAUUUGGAAACGAAUGCUAAUACCGCAUAAAAACUUUAAACACAAGUUUUAAGUUUGAAAGAUGCAAUUGCAUCACUCAAAGAUGAUCCCGCGUUGUAUUAGCUAGUUGGUGAGGUAAAGGCUCACCAAGGCGAUGAUACAUAGCCGACCUGAGAGGGUGAUCGGCCACAUUGGGACUGAGACACGGCCCAAACUCCUACGGGAGGCAGCAGUAGGGGAUCUUCGGCAAUGGACGAAAGUCUGACCGAGCAACGCCGCGUGAGUGAAGAAGGUUUUCGGGUCGUAAAACUCUGUUGGUAGAGAAGAACGUUGGUGAGAGUGGAAAGCUCAUCAAGUGACGGUAACUACCCAGAAAGGGACGGCUAACUACGUG